UACGGGGGGGAGCAAGCGUUGUUCGGAAUUACUGGGCGUAAAGGGCGCGUAGGCGGUCUUUUAAGUCUUGUGUGAAAUCCCUCGGCUCAACUGAGGAACUGCACGGGAUACUGGAAGACUUGAGUUCGGGAGAGGGAAGCGGAAUUCCGGGUGUAGCGGUGAAAUGCGUAGAUAUCCGGAGGAACACCGGUGGCGAAGGCGGCUUCCUGGACCGAUCACUGACGCUGAGGCGCGAAAGCUAGGGGAGCAAACGGG
rnacentral:rRNA from 1 species